GCUUCUACAUUCUUUUGCAAUUUCUUAAGCUCUCACCUCAAGAGUCUUCACAAGAUCCCAUCUACCAUGUUCUGCUGCAGCAUUCUAGCUAAGGAGGUGAAGUCCAAAUGUCCGAGGAUUACACAUGCAGAUCUAUACCAGGUGAAAAGACUGUGUAAAGGAUUGGUUCUUCUGUCUUACAUAUCACGAGUUGGCUCCCCAAAUAGGCGGACAAAAUCAUUGUUGAUAUAACAAGCUUAGUUUGAAAAA